GGCCAAAACAUUAAUGUCCAUGAAGUAAGAUGGCCAUGUAGGGGGCUGAUGUUCGCUAACACUGGCAAUAAUCGGUAUAUACUUGCUUGCAUAGGUUGGAUCAAGCAGACUUAAACUUCGUCCACUCCAUCCCUUUGUCGGGCUGGAUGCUACCAGUGCUAUUAAAAUUGCCAUCACAGCACAACAGACUACCAGGCCAACAGAUACAACAAGCGUAACAGCUACUUUAAACAUUUUUGGAGAG
rnacentral:misc_RNA from 1 species